rnacentral:rRNA from 1 species
UUACCAUGCAGUCGAACGGGAUCUGACCAGCUUGCUGGUUGGUGAGAGUGGCGAACGGGUGAGUAAUGCGUGACCAACCUGCCCCAUGCUCCAGAAUAGCUCUUGGAAACGGGUGGUAAUGCUGGAUGCUCCAACUUGACGCAUGUCUUGUUGGGAAAGUGUUUAGUGGCAUGGGAUGGGGUCGCGUCCUAUCAGCUUGUAGGCGGGGUAAUGGCCCACCUAGGCUUCGACGGGUAGCCGGCCUGAGAGGGCGGACGGCCACAUUGGGACUGAGAUACGGCCCAGACUCCUACGGGAGGCAGCAGUGGGGAAUAUUGCGCAAUGGGGGAAACCCUGACGCAGCGACGCCGCGUGCGGGAUGAAGGCCUUCGGGUUGUAAACCGCUUUUGAUUGGGAGCAAGCCUUUUGGGUGAGUGUACCUUUCGAAUAAGCGCCGGCUAACUACGUGCCAGCAGCCGCGGUAAUACGUAGGGCGCAAGCGUUAUCCGGAAUUAUUGGGCGUAAAGAGCUUGUAGGCGGUUCGUCGCGUCUGGUGUGAAAGCCCAUCGCUUAACGGUGGGUUUGCGCCGGGUACGGGCGGGCUAGAGUGCAGUAGGGGAGACUGGAAUUCUCGGUGUAACGGUGGAAUGUGUAGAUAUCGGGAAGAACACCAAUGGCGAAGGCAGGUCUCUGGGCUGUUACUGACGCUGAGAAGCGAAAGCGUGGGGAGCGAACAGGAUUAGA